rnacentral:rRNA from 1 species
GUGGGGAAUAUUGGACAAUGGGCGAAAGCCUGAUCCAGCCAUGCCGCGUGUGUGAAGAAGGUCUUCGGAUUGUAAAGCACUUUAAGUUGGGAGGAAGGGCAGUAAGUUAAUACCUUGCUGUUUUGACGUUACCGACAGAAUAAGCACCGGCUAACUUCGUGCCAGCAGCCGCGGUAAUACGAAGGGUGCAAGCGUUAAUCGGAAUUACUUGGCGUAAAGCGCGCGUAGGUGGUUUUGUAAGUUGGAGGUGAAAUCCCCGGGCUCAACCUGGGAACUGCCUCCAAAACUGCAUGACUAGAGUACGGUAGAGGGUAGUGGAAGUUCCUGUGUAGCGGUGAAAUGCGUAGAUAUAGGAAGGAACACCAGUGGCGAAGGCGACUACCUGGACUGAUACUGACACUGAGGUGCGAAAGCGUGGGGAGCAAACAGGAUUAGAUACCCGUGUAGUCC